rnacentral:rRNA from 1 species
AGUGAACGCUGGCGGCAUGCCUAAUACAUGCAAGUCGAACGACAGGAUGGUAAGCUUUCUCCUCUACCGUUAGCGACGGACGGGUGAGUAACACGUAGAUAGCAUUCCUCUUAUUCUGGGGUAACUUCGGGAGAAAAGUGAUAAUACCGCCUAAUAUAUUCUACCGCAUGAUUCAAUGGUUAAAGACGCUUUUGCUGUCUGAUUUAGCUGGUUCCGCGCCGCAUUAGCUAGUUGGUAAGGUAACGGCUUACCAAGGCAACGAUGCGUAGCCGACCUGAGAGGGUGAUCGGCCACACUGGAACUGAGACACGGUCCAGACUCCUACGGGAGGCAGCAGUGGGGAAUAUUCCACAAUGGGCGAAAGCCUGACGGAGCAACACCGCGUGAGUGAUGAAGGUCUUCGGAUUGUAAAGCUCUUUUAUUAGGGAAGAACAAAAGUGGAAGAAUCUAUGCACGUUUUGACGGUACCUAAACAGUAAGCCACGGCUAACUACGUG